rnacentral:rRNA from 1 species
GACGAACGCUGGCGGCGUGCCUAAUACAUGUAAGUCGAGCGGAAGUUGGAGAGCUUGCUCUUCAACUUUAGCGGCGGACGGGUGAGUAACACGUGGGCAACCUGCCCUGCAGAUCGGGAUAACUCCGGGAAACCGGUGCUAAUACCGAAUAGUUUUCGCCACCUCCUGGUGGCGUACGGAAAGACGGUUUCGGCUGUCACUGCAGGAUGGGACCGCGGCGCAUUAGCUAGUUGGUGGGGUAACGGCCCACCAAGGCGACGAUGCGUAGCCGACCUGAGAGGGUGAUCGGCCACACUGGGACUGAGACACGGCCCGGACUCCUACGGGAGGCAGCAUUAGGGAAUCUUCCGCAAUGGACGAAAGUCUGACGGAGCAACGCCGCGUGAGUGACGAAGGUUUUCGGAUCGUAAAACUCUGUUGUGAGAGAAGAACAAGUACCAACUAACUACUGGUACCUUGACGGUACCUCACCAGAAAGCCACGGCUAACUACGUGCCAGCAGCCGCCGUAA